CGAGACUACCAGGAUUCCCCUAGUAACGGCGAGUGAAGAGGGAAAAGCCCAAAUUUGUAAUCUGGCUCUUUCAGAGUCCGAGUUGUAAUUUUGAGAACUGUUUUCCGUGCUGGACCAUUUCUAAGUCUGUUGAAAAAUAGCAUCAUUGAGGGUGAUAAUCCCGUUCAUGAUAUGGACUACCAGUUGCAAUGUGAUACAGUUUUUAAGAGUCGAGUUGUUUGGGAAUGCAGCUCAAAGUGGGUGGUAAAUUCCAUCUAAGGCUAAAUAUAGGUGAGAGACCGAUAGCAUACAAGUACCGUGAGGGAAAGAUGAAAAGAACUUUGGAAAGAGAGUUAACAGUACGUGAAAUUGUUGUAAGGGAAACAUUUAAAGUUAGCCUUGUGCUUGUUAGUUCAGCUCUUUUACUAGGGUGUAUUCUAAUGAUGUCACGGACCAACAUCAGUUUUUGGGUGCUGGAUAAGGGUUCCAGAAAUGUAGCAGUCUUGGCUGUGUUAUAGUCUGGGAUUUGGAUACAGUGCUUGGGACUGAGGAUAUUUGCGGCAAGCCAGUCAAAUGGCCGCCCUUUUUAAGGGCUCCCCUGCCAAGGAUGUUGGUGUCAAUAGCUUUAAAUGAC
rnacentral:rRNA from 1 species